rnacentral:rRNA from 1 species
UACGGAGGAUGCAAGCGUUAUCCGGAAUGAUUGGGCGUAAAGCGUCCGCAGGUGGCUAUGUAAGUCUGCUGUUAAAGAGUGAGGCUCAACCUCAUAAGAGCAGUGGAAACUACAUGGCUAGAGUGCGUUCGGGGCAGAGGGAAUUCCUGGUGUAGCGGUGAAAUGCGUAGAGAUCAGGAAGAACACCGGUGGCGAAGGCGGCAUCCUGGACCGACACUGACACUGAGGAGCGAAAGCCAGGGGAGCAAACGGG